rnacentral:rRNA from 1 species
AGAGUUUGAUUCUGGCUCAGGAUGAACGCUGGCGACGUGGAUAAGGCAUGCAAGUCGAACGGUUGUAGCAAUACAACAGUGGCGAACGGGUUAGUAACACGUAGAUAUCAACCCUUUACUCGGGCAUAACCUGGAGAAAUCUAGGCUAAUUCCCGAUAGUCCGGAAACGGUAAAGAUUUUUCGGUAAAGGAUGAGUCUGCGUCCUAUCAGCUAGUUGGUGAGGUAAUGGCUCACCAAGGCAAUGACGGGUAGGCGGAGUGAGAGCUUGACCGCCAACAAUGGCACUGAGACACGGGCCAUACUCCUACGGGAGGCAGCAGUCGAGAAUAUUUGACAAUGGGCGAAAGCCUGAUCAAGCGACGUCGCGUGUGGGAUUAAGAUCUUCGGAUUGUAAACCACUUUUCUAGGGGAAGAACUUUGACUGUACCCUAGGAAUAAGGGGUGACUAAACUCGUGCCAGCAGUAGCGGUAAUACGAGUGCCCCAAGCGUUAUCCGGAUUUACUGGGCGUAAAGAGUCUGUAGGCGGAUAAGUAGGUUAUUGGUUAAAGCCUCCGGCUCAACCGGAGAAAUGCUAAUAAUACCGUUUAUCUAGUCCUCGAGAGGGGGUGCUGGAACUUACUGUGUAGGGGUGAAAUCCGUUGAUACAGUAAGGAACACCAACGGCGAAGGCGGGCACCUGGAUCGAUGGAGACGCUGAGAGACGAAAGCUAGGGUAGCAAAUCGGAUUAGAGACCCGAGUAGUCCUAGCCCUAAAUGAUCCCUGCUAGAUGGUCGAUUUUGAUUCGUUCGGAUUGACUGUCGAAGGUAACCCAUUAAGCAGGGCGCCUGGGGAGUACGGUCGCAAGGCUGAAACUCAAAGGAAUUGGCGGGGAGGCGCACAACCAGUGGAGCAUGUGGUUUAAUUCGAUACAAAGCGAAGAACCUUACCUGGGUUUGACAUCCUUCCUUUUCCUGCUUUGGAAACAGAGCAAGGGGCUGUAUUUAUACAGCAAAGGUUGGACAGCUACUGCAUGGUUGUCGUCAGCUCGUGUCGUGAGAUGUUCCCUUAAGUGGGGUAACGAGCGCAACCCUUAUUCUGUGUUGGAUUUUCACAGAAGACUGCCCUGCCGUUGGUAGGGAGGAAGGUGGGGAUGACGUCAAAUCAGCAUGGUGCUUAUAUCCAGGGCGACACACAUCCUACAAUGAGAAGUAACAAUGGGCUGCCAAGCCGCAAGGCGGAGCUAAUCCCAUCAAACCUUCUCUCAGUGGGGAUUGCAGGCUGCAAUUCGCCUGCAUGAACUUGGAAUUGGUAGUAAUCGCGAAUCAGCAGGUCGCGGUGAAUACGUUCUCGCCUCUUGCACACACC